CUCGAUGUGCCCUCUUCUAUUCAGCAAGCACAGGUCGGUGUCAGCUCUGAUUAGCAUAAAACCCAGCCUGCCUCAAAUUAAGGCACGAGGACGGAGGCUCGCGCUCCUUCUUUCACAUCAGGCAGAGGAGGAAUGAACAGGUCUCUGCUGCACGAGCCUGCUGGUAAGAACUUUACUCCAUUUUACUGUACAGCAGAGAAUUCAUAGUUUGUUGUGCUUGUCCUCUCUUAUAGUGCUCCUGACUAAAAUAUCUGCGAAAGGAUGAUUUGUCGUGUUUGUACUUUUGGUUUGUCGUUCAGAGAAAGAGAAAGUUGAAUCUUUUUUCUGCAGUCGCUGUUACAGACUUACUGCGACCAAAAACGCUAAGCUUAUACUUACCAAUUUUGAUUUCAGGCUAAUUAUUAUUUGAGUAUUCCUUUUUAAUCGUUUCAAAUAAUGUUACAGGUAACCUAUGUUCAGCAUGUCCCUAGACACAAAACUGAACAUGGGCCACAUUGCCAUAGAGAGUUUGAGGAAACCUCUCUCCUGUCCAUAAACCAUCUUUGUAACAGUCUGCAGGGUAAUAGGCCGAUUAUUUUAUGAACCCUUUGGUGCAGGUUAUUUACUGUCAUCUACUGUGAAAAUGCAAUGUUGUGUCGUUUUAGUGUGAUUUGGCAUCUUUACAGUUUAUAAAAGGGCUACAGCUUAACAGGCCAUGAGGUUUUUUUAUUCUUAUUUCUACAACCACUUACUGUAAACUCAUGUUACCAUUAUCCAUGUAAAGUAAAAUAAAGGCUCAUUUUGAAUUUACAUUUUAUCAUUUUUAAUUUUAAGUAUAUAAGCUGUAUUAAAAAAUACUUUUUAUCAGUCUGUUCCACUUUGUCAUUCCAAAAUACAGAAAUGCAAUCUGACUAUCAAGGAAAUAAAAGAUGGUUACAGUUUUCUAUAGAAAUGUGAAAUCAACAAAACAACAAGGUUUAGAGGAUAAAUUCUUAUAAUUUUCACAGGGCUGAAAAAAGUAGGCAACAUGUUUAAAAUAUACAUCCAUGUAUAUUUUAAAUGUCAUCACAAAAUUUUGGUCACACAGGCCAACCUAUCGUCUAAUUCUGUAUCUUCAGUAGACUCAAUGUAAUAAGAGGCCUACAAGAUUUAAGAAAGAUAAAGACUAAAACUGUCUCCAUAGUAUUCAUAGAAAAUACACAAGCUAUUAAAACUCUAAAAUAAAAGUUUGAAAUUAAUAGAUUAAUAUAUUUAUGAAUCAGUUAAAGAGAUUUACCAGUUCCUUUUUUAAAAAACAUACUUUUAUGUAGAAAUUAGGAAAUGUCAAAUUCAGAAAGCCAAGCUGAGAAAGUAAUAUGCUUCCCAACAUUUUCUUGAUAAAAUGUCAAACUUAAGAUAUUACUGCACAGUGUUACUGGUAAAAUAAUAAAAAAUAAAAGAUUGUACACAUUAAAUAGCUGGAAAAUAAAAUAUCCCUCAUGUCUGCCUGUUUUAUCUCUUUCUGAAAGUUGUACAUUCCAGACAAUUGAAAAUAACAUUUUAAUGACAGAUUAAGAGCCGGACGAUACUCAAGCUUCAAAAACUUGAGGAAACAUUAACACAAUUCAUUAAGUUUAAAAUUCUCCCAAAAACAAAAUUACAAAAAAGUCUUACUGUACCAAGUAUCUUUAACUUCCUCCUUUCACAAUACAGAUAAAAUAAAAGUUGAUGGUCAGUUAAAGUAGGUGUAAAAUCAAAAUGUACCACAGCUUGUAUUGAUAUUGAUAUAAAAUAUUGAUAUAUAUUGAUAUAAUUAAAUCACAAAGAAAUUAUCAGAUUUAACUAACUACCUUUUUUGAAAUGAUAAACGAAGAAUCAAGUAAAAUAAAAUAAUAGGUUUUGUGAUAAUCAGUAUAGAAAAUGUGGAUAAACUUAAGUUAUAUUCAUGUUUGUAGACUUGAAUUGUUGAUUCAACAACUAGUGAAAAAAAACUAAGCAAUGUUAUACUAUUUAAGCUGUAGAAAUUAAACUAGAAACGUACAGAUAAACAUCCAGUCUACUUUACUACUACUACUACUACUAGUAAUAGUAAUAAUAAUACAUUAAGCAAAGAUGUCCAAAGUUUUUCAUUUCAUGUUACACUGCAUCUUCUAAACCCCUAUUCUCUGUCAUGUUUCAACAGGUGAGUUUAUCCAGACACUAAAUCACAAAGUAUAAAUAUACAUCUAUAUAAGAAAAACUUUUCUAAAUAGCAAACUUCCCCCCCAUUUUACAUAAACCACAAAUUGCACAUCACUGUACCUUUUACAACCCUUUCAUCCGUACACAGUGAAGCUAAUUUCUGAAAUACUGAGAUAUCUUUCUAUCUUUAAAUCUUAAUUCAAACGAGUAAAUUAUAAUUGCUAAAGUCUACGUUUUGAUAUUUUUUUCCAUGAAGGAGAUACUUUUUAAAUCCUACUUCAUUAAAAUAGGGAAAUAUUUUGUCUUUUCUGGAGGCUACAAGAACAACUACAAACGUAAUCCCUGUCUUUGGUAUUUUUUAAUUUCUGAUUAAAAUCACACUCAAGCUUCAUAAUCCGCUGAAUACAUUUUAAUCCUGAUGAAACAGAUUUGAUGUCAACAGUUUUGACGAGUGUAGAUACUGUUCCCUCUCGCCGACGUGUGGCGCUGUUCUGCCUAAUGUGGGGUUAUUUUAUUGUAAAGAGCAUAUACUGCAUUUCCUCUAUGUCGACAUGUACCUGUGUGAAGAGCGUCUUUUUACCUGUCAAACCUCCAUCUGUGCUGCAGACUGUCUCUGUGUGUUUAAUGCUCUUGGAUUGAGAGAGGAGCAUCUAUAUGCCAAUAACUGCGUUUAUUUACUCUAUUAAAAAUGUGAUGUACCAAUAACCAGUCUCAGUAACAGGAUUAUUACCCAGCAUGCACCACUUUAAAGCAGUUACUUUAUGCUUUUUGUUUAACCUAAGUCUUUCUUUCUUUUUUCUGAAACAGUAAAAAUUCCAACAAACGUGAGGUCAAGUUUUUUUCUUUAACUGUCUGUUUAUGAUUGAAAAUAAACGUAACCAAACUGAGAGUGAGUUUUAACCAGGACUUAACACUUAACCCCUAAGCAAUUGGUGCGUAGUAAGUUAAAAACGUUCAAGCAUAUCAUAGUAAAAUGAUCCCUAGAGCUUGGGACCUAGAGCAGUGAUUCUCAACUGGUUGGUCCCGACCCAAAAGUGGGUUCCUGGUCACGUUCUGGAUGAGUCACGAACAGCUGCUCAAAAAAUUUAAUAUUUAAUGUGAUAUUUAAUAGAUACUCAAAAAUUUCUGCACACGCAACUUCAGUAGUUGUCAUUCUCAUGUUGUCCCCUUCAUGUGCUCUGAAAUGCACUUUACUCAAUAAAACAAGUGGAUUUGUGUUAAAGAUCAGAGUCUUUUAAAGGUAUUUUUUUAAUUAUUAAAAAGAUUAAUUUGCUUGGUUUGAAUUCUAUAAAAGUGGGUCGCGACUUAACGACCAUGGGAAAAUGCGGGUCCCAGAGUGAGACCAGUUGAGAACCACUGACCUAAAGUAACAUUUCAUUGCUUUGUGCGAGACACUGUGGGAUUUUUCUCAAUCUGUUUCACGUUUUAAAAUACUAACCUACUCUCAGGGUAUUUUAUAUUCCCCACCAUUAUCACAAGGCCUGUUUGACAAAUUUGAUAGGCCCUGGGCCGGCUUUACUCCCUCCUCCUCCUCCUCCUCCUCCUCACCAUCAACCUCAUCUCCUCCCUCCUCUCCUCACCUCUUUCUCUCCGUCUGCUGCCGCUGCUCUCACAUCACACUCCUGUCUGUCUGUCUGAUGCGCUUUCUAUCCGGUAAGAGAGGAUUUUUAUGCACAAUAAAGGAGCCAGUUUAUGAUGAAUGCAGCAGGGAAAAUACACGAAGAUGUGAAGAGGGGGGGGAAAGCCACUAAACAAGAACAGGAGCUGUUAUGCACGUGAGAAACACGGGAUACGAGGUACAUCUCUCUCUCUCUCCCUCCCUUUCUCUCUCUCUCUAACUUGAUGCUACUGUAGGCCUAUUUAAAUGAACUGCAUAUUCCUUUAUUCUCUUAAUCAACACGAGAGUCUAAUUGGAGGUAUAAUUAUUGGAUUAAAGUCAAUAUUAUAAAACACGAAAUAGGUGAAGUGUUGUGUGCGUAAUUUUAGAUAUAUUUCAGUGUUUUAUUUUACUAGAGUUUCCGUAUUGGUGGUGUAAUUUGAUUAGAAUCAGAAUCAGAAUGUCCUUUAUUGUCAUCAUACUAAAAGUACAACCAGAUUGGAGAGCUUCUCUUUUUCCAGUGCAGUAGACAGGUAAAAAUAAGGUAGUAAAAGUAGUAAUAGUCGUAAGAAAGAAGGUACUAUAUAAACAAGACGAGUAUUUAUUGGUGCAUGUAGUCUUAAAGAAAAUUAAGUUACAUCUGAAAACGAAGCCAUAUUCCAAGUCCUAGCAAUCUCUCUUAAAUUAUUGCAAGCUCAUUUGUAUUAAAACUUGUUAUGGCGAAUAAUUGAUGAGUUUAAUUGAGAUAGUGUAAUAACAGCAACAUGGUCACAAUCAUUUUACGCAUGAUACGGCCUUUAGAGAGCCAAAGACUCAGCAGAAAAUCUCACCCAUGUCCUGACAGGUUUUUUUUUUCCUAAUCUCGCGAUUAAUCGACGCUAAAGUUUCUGCAAACUCCUGAAUACUUAAUGAGGCCAUGUGCUCAUGAGAGAAGUAUUCGUGUAUUAAGAAGAAGAGGAGGAGGUGGAGGUGGUGGAGGAGGAGGUGGAGGAGGAGGCCCGGGCAGCGCUGCAGUGCAGAGUUCAGCAGAGAUAUUGUUGUGAGCCUGGGAAAGUGUAGCGGGGCUGACGCCAGACUCGGUCAGGCAGGGAGGGGGGGCACCUCGAGGAUCCCAGACCGGAUUGUCAUGCUAAUGUCUCCCCGGCACGUUGUUGAACUUGAUGUUGACUUCUUUCUUUACUGGGGGGUGAGACAGAAGGGGAGGAGGAGGAGGGGGGUGAAAUUUUCCCUGUCACUUGUUUGUGGGAAAAUCCAAGUGAGGACACACACACACACACACACACACACACACACACACACACACACCAGUUUUUAACAGUCACUACAGUUGAUUUAAUCCUGAUGCAUUAUAUUUCUCAGAAUUAAUACAUUCAAUUCAACUGUAUAUCUUAAAAACCCAAUUGGCUUGUGGUUAAACAUCUUGAAAUACUAACUUGAACAACUCAAACAUUUAUUCCAACAAAACAAGUAUUUUAUGGGAUUGCUUUCAAGUGCUAAAUUUUUGCUUAACUCGGAUAUAGAAAAAACUCUUGUGCAAAAUCUGACCAGAACAGAGUCUAAUAUUUAUAUUUAAUUCAAAAUUGUAAUUUUAAAUUGUGUCUUUAAUUUGUUUCUUGGAUUGAACAUGUCUCUUCAGAAUUUGAGUUUGCAAGGAUACAGAGAUACACGUGCAUUCUCACGCCCUCCUUGCGCAUGCUCAAGAGGAUUGACAUUUGUAGCUCCAGUUAAAAUGCAAAUGCAGUAACGAUGGGUUAGUUUUAAAGGAAGUGUGUGUAGGCCUUCUUCAGCCGUGCACAGUGUGAUGUUAGUUCAAUUACAUUAGGACAGCACUAGAGUCACAGCUGAUUACAUCUACUUAGAAAUGAUGAAGAGUCCGGCUCCUCAUAAAUGAUGAAGAGGAGAACAGCAGUGAUACAGUAUGGAGGAGGUGGUCCUGUGCUGCACCUCCAUGAUACUAACAGAUUGCUCAUGCGCAAUAAUCAGAUAUGUAGCUGCUAUCUGAUGCAAGCUUCGUUGGGAAACCCGGACUGUAGCUGCUCUAUGCUCUGUUAUUGGUUUACCUUUACACACACACACACACACACACACACACACACACACACACACACACACACACACUCCAGCACCUUUUUAAAUAUCAUUUCAAACUUUGAAAGAUAUUACAAGUUGCUAUUCUCGUCUCUGCUUGGCUUCUUUUAUCAAACAGUGUGAUUAUUAUCGCUCGCACUAUCUCAUCUCCUCAGCACAGAUAUCUUUCAUAUCAUAACAUCACUAUCGAUAAGGCUGCAUAUAUUCCCUGAAUAUGUUAUCAGAGUUUGGCUAGCUGUGGGUCCUCUCUGCACCAAGGACAGGAACCAGGAAUUCCUCUGCUCAGUAUGAAUUUCUGUAUUUUUUGUUGGCUAUACUAGACUUAAAAUCAGUGCCCUUGCAGCAUCUUUUUGUCCUCUGCACAUUAUAGACACCUAAGAUCAGAAAAUACACUAUAAUAUUUUUUAUUAAUGCCCCACAAAUGCCAUUAAAGGUCGUAUAGCCUAUUUAAAAAAGCUAUAACAAUAAGAAUGGGGAAAAUGUGCUCUAAAAGCCACAGUCAACCUACAUACAGAAGUAGGGCAGCUGAGAUACUUUAUAACGUAUCUGGUUAUAUUUUUACAAUUAGCUACACAAUAUAAAAGAGAGCUAACGCUUUCAUCUCAAGUUGUUUUAUUAACGUUUUUUGUUUUAGCCUCCUAAACUGACCUUAAAAACCUUAAUUAAAUGAAACAUCUCGACAGCUAUUUUAUGUUGAGGAGUAUUAGCUUAUAACACAACAACAGUUCUGAUAAAUAAGCUAAAUGCUCUUUGAAGAUGGCUGUUUUUUUCUCCAGAAUAUUGAAUUCGAGAGAUUUUUUCUGGACUGCUAUGAACUACAAUUAUAAAAAUAAAGAGCAGUUGUCAGAGAAAUUUCUACCGUAUGGGUUUUUCAUACAAUGCUGAAUUAAUUUCACCAAAAUAUACCUUUUAUCGAUGUUAAAAACUGUAAAUGUCACAUAACUCCACCUGCCCCCCCAUUCCCCCUCUUUUUAAACUUAUCUUCACGCGCUUCUUCUCUGUCUUCUCAUUGGUCUGUUGUCUAAUGAGGAUAAUUGGUGCAAUAAACCACUGAUUGACGCACACCUGCUUUCAAUUUCCAAUAGGCUUUAAUUACUCUCUCUCUCUCUCUCUCUCUCUCUCUCUCUCUCUCUCUCUCUCUCUCUCUCUCUCUCUCUCUCUCUCUGAGGCGGAGUUUGUCCCCUCUGCUCUCUCUCACUGGGUGCACGCUCUGCACUUGUCAGUCAGUCGCAGCUCGCGCGUGCGGGAGGGAGGGAGGACACAUUGAAGCUCAUAGAAAGCUCGUGCGACAGUUUUAUCCUCGAUGAUUAUUUGUUUUUUUUUUUACUCUAUUUCCUCUGAUUGGAUGCGUUCAGAUCACGCAUCGAUCUCGGCGGGAUUGAAAUAGUUGGAGGAUAUUGACUGGAGUGGAGUUAGCUUAAUGUGCAAGUAAGUGGGAUGCUGCCUUUAUGUGAUUGAGUUGUCUCUGGCUUCUGUGUAUUUAUAUUUUAUUUUAGUCCACAGCCUGCUUUUUAAAGGCAGUUGCAUGUAUUCCUGGAGGCUGCUUAAUUCUGGUGUGUUUCUUGUAAACUGUAGCUGUGACAUUAGCAUUAAAGGAUGUUUGGUGGGAACUUUAUUGUCUUAAAGGCCCACUGCUGUGUGCCUCAAAACUGAUGCAGUCCUAACAAUGUAUAUAUAAAAAAUAACAACAACCCUGACAGCCUAAAAAAUGGGUUUAUUUACCACCAAAUGAUUGGGACAGGGUUGCAAAUGGAUGGGUUAGUGUGUCUGAUAAGGCCUUGCUUCAAGUGUUUCAAGGCAAAAAGUGCCACCUCAGCAUCAAACCGAGACUGUGGUUGAGCAUGCUUAGAGUUUUGGCAUCACAGUGUGUUUUAAAAUGGUUUCUUAAAGUUGAACUUCAUGAUGGGCCGAGAUGUGUGAGUGUGUGUGGAUGUGAAACACGUCUUUGAAGCCAGUGCCUCAUUUUAUUCAUCUAUUGAACUUGUUUUCAUCUCCUUAUGAGAAUUUCACAGCUGAAAUCCACGGUAGAGCUUUUCUUUUAUUGUGCAUCUUGUCUAUAUGUUUUGUGUGUGUGUGAGUGAGUGAGUGAGUGUGUGUGUAUGAGGAGCUCAGUGUGAACACAGGCAGCCUCUCUUUCGCUCUCUCUCCCUCCUUCAUCCUCUCCUCUCUCUCUGUUGGUGUUGGAGGGGCGGCCCCUUUAAGAGACGACGGGUGUUAGUUUGUGUCUUUGGUUAUCUAGCUGUAUGAGUUUUAAUUUCAUAAAGCUAGAGAACCGAAAGUACGAACUGACGCCGAGCACUUCGGAACCCAGGUGAUGAUGGGGGGGAUCCUCUCGCUCGCUCCGGCAUGGAGGAGGAAGAGGGGGAGGAGGAGGAAGCAGCAGCGGCAGGAGGAAAGCAGCAGCAGGGACGGAUGCUGAGGGGAGGCUGCACGAGGCUUCCGUGGAGGAGGAGGAGGAGGAGGUUGUGGAGGUUUUAGAGCUCGAGCAGAAACCCCCGGUGUGAUGUGAAUGUCGUUGGUCCACCUCAGGUUCAGAGGAGUCCUCCGCGUGUCUGCGAGCGCGUGAAUGUUGCUGCGUUUAAGGGGCUCGUGUUGUGGGCACCGCGGUGAUGCUUAAGGCCUAUAAUGAUGAAGAAAAUUGACAUUUCGUUGAAACGUUGCGCAUGUGGACAGUGCGCACCAAAACCUCCUCCGUGUGUUGUCGAGUAGUUGUCAUAACUGUGUGGGUGUUCUUACAUUAAUAUCUGGAGGGGCUUGACAGAAAUAGUUAAAAGAUUCCUCUGAUUGGUCCAACCUGGAAUCACGUGACAGUGUUGGCAGCAGCAGUAACUCGGUAUUUCAGAUCUCACAUGUUGGUUAUUGUGUUCUCUUUCCAGGUGGAGAAGUUAGCAUUGAGCAGCAAGGCCCCAUUAAUUAGAUUAAUUAGUUCUCUUGGGUUGCAUCUAGACUCCCUCACUCCCUUGUUUGUUUCUUUCAUUAUGUUGUUGACUAACUAUUUCCUCCUGGCUGUAAAGGAGUGUUAACUAUAAUAGUGUAAAAGGGUUUGGAAUGGUCUGAUCAAGUAUUUUAGCUCUGUGAAUUAAAAACAUACAUUUGUUUUGUUUCAGUUUUUUCAGGGUCACCUAAUGUGGGGUGUUUGACCAUUUGCUACCAAACCAAAACAUGCAGCAUAUACACCACAUCCAGAUCACCAGUGCAAACAAAAAAAAAAGAAAAACAGGCCCUAUGCACCACCAUCUUCAUCCUGUUUCCAACAUGCUCUCAUCACUGCGUUUGAAUCCGGGUUAGACAUGGCAGAUGCGUUCAAAUUUGUGUUUUGCAGGGUGGAUUAUUUUUGUGUUUGCCUGCUAGAUAAGAACAAAAUAGGACAUGGGCUCAGAGUUUGAUCUAUUCUUAGAGCGGAAUCAGCGAGCCUCGGAGAUGACUGAAUAUCCCUGAAGUCCCAGCAUGCUCUAUUUAGACCAUGACUGACAACAUUUGAUGUGCGCCGUUAGACAAGAGAGCCGGGAUGGUGUGUGAGCGAGUGUGCGUGUGUGUGUGAGUGUUGUUGAUGCUUGCAUAUGUGAACUAAUGUGCUAACAUACGAUUUGACCCCCAUGUCCUCCAUCUUGGUGUGAUACAAAGCAGAUCCUGGUGACGAUUCCACCUCAAUGGUUACAGAUUUUAGCAAAGGCAUUGUUGCGUCCUAUAAACAGUCAGUAGCAUAUGGCAACUUUGCUGCUGCUCUGGAGACAUAUACCACACAUCAUUGUUUUUUGGUGUGUUUUUCUUCUUAAUGUGUGACUCUUCCAGCGUCACUUUAUGUUUUUUGCUUUUCUUAAGCUGUUGAUUUACUGUUGAAGCAACAGAAAAUAUAAACAUGCUCUCUCAGGAGCAAAAUAAUUAAAAGUGUGUGGAGAAAAAAAAGCAAACAUGAAGUGCUGUUAGCUGCAAGGUCAACAACACUGCAUUCAUUUCUUCUUUUCUUCCACUGCAUUGAAAGCCUCUAUUUAUCCCUUAAGUGAUUUGUUUUGUUGAAAAGUAAGCAUACCCUGAUCUUCUUUUCUUUUCUUUUCUCUUGAUAGGAAAAUGACACCACCUCGGGAUAAAGACAAGCUGCCACCAGACAGGAUGAGGAGCGACAGAGAGCCUGCAGGUAAAUAUCAGAGAAACAUUGAGAAAUUAUCCCCUUGUUACAAGAUAAUGCUGCUGAAAGCACCAAGAGUUUGGGUGUUUGGGUAUUUAACCUUGUACAUAUUUUGUACGUAUCUUUGAUGUUUUGAAGUUGUCACUGUCAGUGUUUGCUAAUAGGAGCUCUCAGAUGGUUUCAUUUUUUAGAGUCUUGCAUAAGUGAUGGUGCAGCAUUCCUGGUUCUUGAUUUUCUUCCAUAUUUGUUGAGCUGUGAGGAUGGAGCUUGUUGUGUGUGUGCAUGUGUGUGUGUGUCGUGUGGGUGUUAAAAAAAAAAAAAGUCUGACCCUGUAUUUCUGAAAUAUUGAGGAUUUUCUGUUUUGCAUCAAGAAUGACUUGUGCUGUAGUGGACCACGCACGUCUUAUUCAAGCAGGAAGGAGCGUUAAGCGGGACAUUUAUAAGCUGGUUUUACUCGGCCACAGUGUAAAUGUCUGUUUUAUAUCAUCCAUAUAUGUAUCAUUCAGACUGUGUGGAGCUAUAGUACCCUACAGCACCACAGAGUAAACGCUGUGAUUUGAGCUAGUGAAGUAAGACCUCCAUAUUGAAUUCCAUCAUUCCUUUGAAGUAUUAACAUCUUUUACAUUGUACAUCACCCCCAUCCUCCUCCUACACACACACACACACAUGCACACACACGUCUCUCUUUCAUACUCUCACGUCCAGCGUUUUAUCCCUUUAAACACUGUGAUCCUAUUUGUCAGGUAGAGUGUGUGGUAGGUGCAGGGGAGGUGGCCGUGUAAUCUUUGCUGCGGUUCUUUAUCCCGUUAGGAGAACGCGUACGACGUUUGGAGCUGCUCAUGUGGAAAGAGCGUUUGGGUGGCUCUGUCCUUUUUGGCGCUAAUGCCUAGACAAGUCACCCUCCCCUCGCUCAAAGUCUCCUGAUUAUUGUGAGCAAAGUGACGGCAUGCAUAGAGGUAUGCAUGGUUUAGCGAAGGCAGCAUUAGGUCAAAGUUGGAAUAUCGUAGAUUACAAAAGGGAGCUAGGAAGUUAAGCACAGUGAGAAGUUUAUUUUUUCACUUUUAAAUCAAAAUUUAAUUCCCAAAUCUUUUGGCUCUUGAGGAAUAAAAUGUUUUGGUGUUAUUUUAGCGAGGACUGAAACAGACAUUCCUCGCUUUUCAGUUGUCUGUCUUUUCCCUCCAAUUCCACCCCCAAAAAAGUCCCACGUUAGGAAUUAAACAAUAAGUACACAUUGUUAGCAAGGUCAAAUCUUCAUGGUUCCACAACCUUGAGGCUCAAUCUAAAGCUCAGUUAUUCAAAUUUAGUGUGGCGUUCUUUAAGGCGCCCAGAUUUUCCCAAGCUUUCGAUUAGCAUAUGCAAGGGCCGGCCUGUGCUGCUGUUUUCUAAAGUGGAUGUAAAUUAUAACCUCAGUAUUAUACAGGCUGAUGGGAGAUAAAUCUCUGCAGUAAUGCAUUGCAGGGAGUGGGGGUAGGGUGGGUGGGGGUGCUGUAAAGGGGUUGUGCGUUUGUGUGUGUGUGUGUGCGAGGUACUGUACAAUAGCCGGUGGCAGAUGGAAUACAGACUAGCAAAGGGCUGGCUGAUAGCAUGCUAAACUCCCUUUUUACCGGCUUUAGUUUGUCCGAUUUUUACAGAUCCUGGACAAAAAAGCAGAGAUUUUCAGAGGAGAUACUUCUGAAAUAAAAAUGUUAAAUCAGCUACAUUACUGGCGAGAUGAAUUUGCAAGUGUGUACACAUUGUUUUAAAACAAAUAUUAACACAGGAAGAUUACUAAGUCGAAAUCUGCACUUGUGCGGUCCAAAGGGCUGAGGCUUCAGGCCUCACGAGCUGAGUGCAGAUCUUUUUGGAAUCUCUAUGCAAACUAGGGCUUGAAUAAUGAGAUGUAUUUAUGAAGGGCUGGGAAGGGGGUCCCUGCUUUUGAAAGCAAGUAGGCCGGAGCCUGAAUGGGAUGGAGGGAGGUGGGGUUGAAGGAGAAGGAGGGGGGGAUGAGGGGUGUGUGUGUGUGUGUGUGAGAAGAGGGGGUACAGGGGGCCCCCAGCAGCCCGGGCCUCGGCUGAGGCAGCUGUGAAAAGGGGUCCCGUCUUUUUCCCACGCCCAGCAAGACGCGAAACACUGCCGCGGCUCGCUAGGGUCAAGUCCCAUCGCUAAUAUAUACACGCAUACAUACACACGCACGCACGCACACGCGGGGAGAGCGAGGGAGAGUUGUGUGUGUAAAAGUUGUGCAAAUUAACAAGCUGUCUGGGAAGCUCUGUGACAUAGGGACACCUGCUAUACUCCCAGAAUGCUUUGCAGCCUCAUCAAGGGCCACUGGGACAACAAUUAGGUCAUAGCUUCAACUUGAACUUAAAAAUUGGCUGAAGAUUGAAAAGAGUCUGGAUCAUAUUUCUCUCUGCUGUUUUCGAUCUAAACGUUAAAAAAAUAAAAAUAACACUUUAAUGAUUCUGCUCUUGCUAAGUUUUAAAAAUACAGUUUCUAAAAUAGUUUUCUAAAAUAGUGAUCAUUGUUAGAUUUUGAAGGAAAACGUGCUUUUUUUUAUUUUUGCAACUCUAGUGUGCAAAAACACAAGUAAAUGCUGAAAUGUUGAACUUGUACGAUUGUUGCUGUGUCCAUUGACGCAGAGACAAACUUGGCCUUGUGCUUGAUCCGAGACCCUAACUGUCAACUUGGCAUUGUCUGUCUGCACACACCCAUGAUCCCACCCACCCACACGCACGCACACACACAGAGCUUGUCUCAGGGACACACAAAAGAGAAUUUGAACAUGAAUUGGAGGAAGGUUGGAGAAAGAUAUUGAGGAAUGUUUUAAGUCUGAACUCUGACCUUUUGUGCUUCUUUAAAUUUGAAAACAGGCACAAUGUGAGAGACCAAAAACACUGACGACCGACGAUGAGCCUGAAAAGAGAGGCAAAAAUCCUACUCUUAAAAAAUAAUCUCCUUGGUCUAAAUCUUGUGUGAAAUUGUAGUUUCUUGUUUAGAUAUCAGCUUGUAUCUUUGACCACCCAUUGUUGUUUACAGCAGCCAUGCUCCUUUCUUCCUCUUGAAGCUGGUGUCACACCCAUUCCUCCCCUCAAGAUACUGGCACACCAAUCAAAUCGGUGCAUCACUUCUUUCACUCCCCGCCGUAGCUGCAUCAGAGCGGUGUCACACUUAUUCUCUUCCCCCUGCCUACUCCAGCUACUUUCUUGAAUUCCACAUGGAGACUCUCCUGUUAUGGUUUUUAGAAUAUUAGCAAAAGCAUCCAAUCUUUUUCUUUUUUUGGUGUCUCACCCUCCUCCUCCCCUGCUCCUCCUCCUCCUCCUCUUCGUCAUCAUUUUCCCUCCUAUUCAGAGAAGUCUGAAAUAGAGAGGGGGCUCCUUCUAAUUAGCUCUGUAAAGAUGCUUUGUGGCGGUCAGUGUGGCCACCAGUGUGUGCAGAGAGAGGUGAUGUGUGACAGCUAGUGUUAGCAUUAAGAACAUGUGUAUGGGCCCUUAAUGAGGUUUGUUAGCUGAGUGUGUAUCCUGCCGUUUGAAUGCACCCUCGGCAGCCUUUGAAGGAACGGAGAUGAAGAGAGCGAGGAGGAGGAGGUGGAAAAGGAGAGAGGAGUCUUUCAGCGUGGCAGGUUGCAGAAUACAGAUUAUGCAUUAUGCUCAGUGUGGUUUCUAUUUGAACGGAAGAUGAGGGGAGCAUAAUGCUUCACUUGCACGUUGUCUGGGGAAAACGUGGGAAAUAAACGCAGGUCAUCUCGCUCAUCAGAUGUAAAGGAGUUAUUUACCUGGUCUUAUGACAUUUGCAGUGAUUCCAGUAAGUCUUAACGGUAUAAGAUAAGCGAAACAGGAGAGCGAUAGAGCUGAUUUCCUGUAAAUAUAAGAUCAAAAUUCAUCUCUAUGUUUGUAUUUUAUGUAGUUUUUUUUUAAGGUCAAGCUUAUUAACAAGAUAUAAAAAGAAAGGGUAAAAAAAAUAGUAAAUGAUAAUAUAAAAUCAGUUAGAAGAGAGCUAACAAAAACAUCCAAAUUAAGAUUAGACGCGACAAAUUUAAAUAACCAAAUAAAAUAUCUAAAGAGCCAAAUGGAGAUAUAUAACUGCACAUCCUCAAUCCUGUUAGACCAGAUCAUGUUGAUGUACAGUAUGAUUCAGAAAGGACUCCCAUACGUUAUAAAAUGUUUAAUUAUUGUCACGCCGCCAAGCUUCUGGUGCAUGAGAGGCCUUAUGCUAAUUCGUUUAUAAUAUGUAGUCAUGAAUGGGGCAAAGAAGGACAGGAGCGAACUCACUGGAAAAGAGAGCACCAUUUAUAAAUCUGUAUUGGGACACCGAAGUGUUUGGAUCACCAAUUAUUUGUUAGUUUUUCUGCUUUUAAGGAUUUUACAAUGAGGAAACACACUACUGUUCAUCCAUGGAUAGACAAUCAGGAAAUAAUAAUCAUGUACUAUGAGGUGAGAAACAAACAUUUCAGACAGAAUGUGGAGCAGAUUUGGUGGUUAUCCUGGAGAUUAGAGAUGUCGAGCUGCAGAUGAGAGCCAGAGGUGGAAGGUAGAAGCUGAGAAAAACCAGGUUGGGAAAUGAGGGAUUGUAUGGAGGCAAAGAGGCGACCUGCUGGGCUUGCCUGCUGCCUCACAGAUUGUAAACUGUCACUCAGGAUGCACACAGACAAGCAGACAGACAUCAUUUGCCCACAUCACCCUCUACUACUGAAACUGUCGCCCCGCAGCCCCCUACUGCUCCCCUUCUUUUUCCUUCCCUUCACUCCAUUUCCAGGCCUUUUUCUCCUUGGCGCGUGCACAUGCAUGUAUAUAAACUCCCUAAUCUAUUUCCUCUAUUUUCCAGCUCCUCUCCUCUACUUUUCUCUCUGUCUCCGGGUUUUCCGUUGAUGAAAUGAGUCAGCUUGCAGCAUACUCUCCCCUCUCAUUGUUCGCUGGUUCGUUGCCUCUCCAUAGGAGGUAGAGAGUGUUUGGGCUCUUUCCCCUGUUUUACCAGUUUACCAGUGUAAUCCUUUACAGCGGCACAAUGAGCUCUCACUCCAGCCGCAGGAUUCUAUUAGGCUCCCAGAGAGACAUGGGAUCUCCAUAAACAUUUUCCAUCUGCCCCUGAACCCCCACCCACCCUCCCUACACAACCUAUACCACCUCAAACACAGCCAAAAUAAUACUUUCCUUUAUGCAUUAAAAGCAGAACUCUGUUUUUUACCCAUCCACAGAGAAGAGAGAACAAAAUCGUACACACGCACAUUACAAACGACUUGUUAAUGCUGUCAGCUUCACUCCCAAAACAGUGGUCUUUUACAACUGCAGAACGAAUAACAAGCAGCCGGGGACAAGCAAAUGCUUGUUAUAUGGUCUUUGGAGGAAAACAGAAGAUGUUUAAAAAAAAACGCUGAAAUCAGAGGAGGAUGUGAUUUGUGCUCCGUGCUGAAAGUACAAUGCCGUUAAAGUGUGCGGAUAAACUCCUCAAUCUGUUAUCUCAUGCUGGUGGUGCAGAUCAGAGUUGGAGCCGGUUUUGUGUUUCAGUGAAAACUUUAAAAAAUGUACAAAAAUAAGUCACUUUAUUUGAAUCCGGUAGAAGAAAGUAGUUCAGGAAAACAGCUCAGCACUAGUAGAAGAGCACAUCUUCAGAUUCAAAUACUAGAAUCAGCAACACAUAGAAGCAGCGUUUAAUGAAAACUCCUUCAACUUUGGGUUUAUUAACUUGGGUGAGCCUUUGAUCAAAGCUGUUUUUGCUUAUCUUGUUUUAUACAUGAGUGUAAGUGUUUUCUUUUCUCCUCUUUUUUCUUUUAAAAGUCACAUGUAUCACUCAUUGUGAAUCUUUGCUCAGAAAAUGUUGCUCCAGCAGUGUGCGGUACUUUGUCUUACACCCACAGCAGCAAUUUUAAGUAAAAACUUUAAGAGUUUUUAGGCAACUGGAAUUAAUAUUGUGCCAUAAAAUAUUUCAACCAGCUAUGCACUCAAAAGUCAGCCUGCUGCCUCAUACAGACUUUUUGACCUCUCGAGACACAGGAAACCAAACGCAUUGGUAGCUGAUUUUAAAGUUUUUUAUGUAUUUUUUAUGUUCUAUACAUGCAGUCAUGGCUAAUUCUGAAAACAAUCCCCCAAGAUUCAGACAAAUAGUUGAGUAAAUAGCUGAUGCCUUGUGUGCUGUUUUAAACUCUGCCUUGAACAAAUAGAGCAUGCAGAAAUAGUUGACACACAUUCACCGUGUUAUAAGAGCAAUCAGGACAAAGACUGCUGUGCUUUUUUUUUUUUAUCAAAUAAAAUUCAUAAAGUGUCCUGUUCUAGUUUCCAAUCAGAAGCAGGAGCUGACUGAGGCGAUGAGCAGCCUUUGAUUGACCUUAAACGAAGAAUCUGGUCCUCGAAAAAAGACAAAUCAGGAUUAUUUGAACGUUUUUUUGUGAAUUGCCAAAUUAAAGCCCCAGUGAUGACUGACCUGAUACUGACUACUGAGGGCUACUUGAUUUAUCUUCUUUAUUGAAUCUGAUUUUGUGCUUGAAAUUGAUGUAACUCUUGAGGCUUCCUCAGAUGUAGAGUUAACCCUUAAGUCUAACUUUGUUAUUCUGUUAAAUGUGAAAGAAUAAUCACCUUUAACUCUUAAAAAUCCCAGCCUGUGUAUUGCUGCUGAAAUGCAUUUUUUUCAACAUCCCCCUGAUUUGUUCAAGUCCAAAGCCACGGGUCACACAGUGCUUCUUUCUCCCCCCCUCCGUCCCUCUCUUGCUCCUCCUCAUACACAAACAUAUCCCUCCAUCUCCUGUCGGCCUCCCUCCUCCUGCCCCUCCGUCCUUCCCUCUCCUCCUAUCUUGAUAAUGCAGCUCUUUUCUCUCUGUCGGGGUGGAGGGCUGCCUGAACCAACAUUGUCCCCUAUGCCGGCUCUAGUGGGGGGCCCUAUUGUGUGUGAAGGAAUGGGGAGUUAACACCCAUGUCUGAACCUGCUCAAUGGGUGCAUUGUGUCUGAAUCUUCCCUCGGCUCACCCAAUCUCACCCUGCGUCUCUCCUGCCCUUGCACGGGCCAAGGAAGGCAGGGUGUCCUCCAUGUCCUCAGCCAUUAAAAACAGAAAACAUAAACACAACUCAAAACUCACAAACACUCAAACUGGUAUUCUCAGCUCUUUGCUUUCUGUGUCCGGUUGAGUUUUCCAGCAAACUGCAGUGGGUUCAACACACUCCUGCACAAAAAGUGGGGGGUCAGUGGGUGCAUGGUUACUAAAGGAGGCCCCUGCGUCUCGUUUUUGUUAUAGAACAGAACAGAGAGAUGUAUAAAGGACAAUAUUGUAUUAGCAUGAUAACAGGAUUCAGAUGCUUUUUGAAAUAUCUCGAGUUGUAGGGCGUCGAUUGAAUCGGCUCAAAUUAUUACGUUAGAUUCAGCAAAGUUUCAAAGCAAAUCGUUCAAAAGAAUCUGAGGCAUGAUUAAAAAAGAUAUUAGACAUAAUGUUGAACCCUAUUGAAGUAUAAAGUGGAUUUUUUAUUGUGAGUUUUAAUGAGAGUGAUUUAUAUUUCAGGUUAAACAUUUAAAACAAUGAGCAGAAAUGGACUCGUCUGUUUCAGUAUUCUGAACAUUUAUUUGUUUCUGUAGCAGCGAGAGCCUUGGGGCAGGUUACAAAAGAGCAAGUUGGUGUUUUCUUCCCACAUAUUUUUAAUCAAAGUGUUAGUGUUUACAUUUGCAUUUGCAUUGAGCACAGGGAGGCUGAAUGCCAAAGGUGAGAUUUUGAAAAACACUCUAUUUUCCCUUUUUUUGCAGAUGGAAACAAGGGUGGGUGGUUGGAAGGCUGCAUAAAGGCUGCUGGAUGACUGAACUCAGAGACCCGGUGCAGCUCAUCAUCAUUGCCACGGGCUUUCGUCUUCCUCCUCUUUCUCCUGUGGCCCCGUACCAUUCCAUCCAGGGGUCCAGCAGAGCCAGCGAAGCCCAGGCGGGGAGCUUGUGAGUGGGCUGGGAAGGAUGGAGAAGCUCCCUGAAGGCUCGGAGCACCUCUGGAGCUAGCGGCGUGCAGGAGAAAUCAAUAUGAAACACAGAGCGCUGCACAGCUCUGAGUGGGGUUUCCUGUGUUAGUCUGCGGCCUCGGGGCCCGCAGACCUCCAAAGGACAGGCCCUGCAUGGCCCCUCUCAGCUGCAGAACCGGACCUCAGUUCCGAUCUCCGCUGGCUGUGUGUGGUUCUGCUGAAGGGGAUUGCUCCCCAAAUAAUACCCAGAAUGUGGAGAGACCGCCGAGAGGGAUAUUUCUUUUUCUCUUGAUUUUUCCUUCCUUCAUAAGAUUGACAUAUCCCCCACCUCCUGCCUCCAGCUGCUUAAAAACCAGUUUGGGAGAUCUGCUUUGGACUCUCUCUCCGUUCUCAACUCACCCGCUGUUUAUUCCCUGACCAGUUUUUAGAUUUGACAAAGAGACAGUACGAUCUUUAUUUUCUCCUCCACUUUCUCUUGGCUUGCAGUUACCAUGGUGAGCUGUAGAUGUGUCUGUUACGACCAGAAACGCAGGUACACGAAGUUUCAGCAUCUUUUUUUUUUUUUUUUGCUCCUCCAUGAUGUCUGCUCUUCAAUGCAAGACUGUAAAAAAAAAGUUCCCAACCACAGAGAGGGAGGAAGAUCACAGAGCAGAGAGACCCUGACACUCUGUAGAGGAGCUGGUGAAAUGGCAAGUAUCUCUCUUAAGCACUCAACAUAUUCCACUCCAUGAACAGCUCUCAGUGUGCUCUCAUUAAGUCAAACCCUGCCUCAUAUGGUGCUGCAUGUGUGUGUUUGUGCUCCCUUGUACCUCACAUGGUUCAGGGGGAUGUCAAUUACAGCUUCAAACAGAGGUUUCCCAAACUCUCAGAAAUACUUAGAAGUUAAAAAAGUUAAUCGGCAUAUUUUCAUCAAACCCCUCUGAUCAGUUGAAAAAACGUGUUUCUGUAUUCUCCAGCACAGAGCGCUCUGUUUGUGUGUGUAAGUGGUCUGUAUACGCUCCCAUUUGAACGGGUUUGCCAGUGUGCAGCAGCAGCAGCAGCAGCAGCACCCACAGCUCGUCAUCACAGCGAUGCAGUACGCCUGUUCCCAUCCAGAUGGGCACAGAUUCAGACAAAAUGGCCGCCAGUCUUCCCACUCUGCCAAAGAUGGCGGGCGCAACUCUGUCGCCUGCCAUCUGUGCAUCCGUUAGCUGUUGUCCAAUGCAAAUCAGGGCUAAUUGCAUUUGCAUAACCUCCAAACCGUCAGGUCGUUUGCACGCUCUGGUAAUUGCUCGUAUGAAGCGACGGCGUAGAUGACGUUCAAGCAGAAGCGCGUUCGUGUUUUAGCGUGUUUUGGGGCAUAAGUGUGUGGGUUGUUUUUUUUUAGGUUGUGGGUUUUGGCGUGCUGAAACAUGUCUGAUCGCUCCCUGAGAUCAAGAGUGUGGUCGUUCUGUGCCAUAUGGCGUGUUUGCGUGUGAUUCCCUUGCAUGCAAAUGUGACACUGUACUGAAAGAUUAAGUCAAAGCUGUUUUAGAAUCAGAGCUCUGUCACGCACACACACACAGACACACACACAUACAUAAUACACAGAUGAAAGCAUUAAGCAAAUAGAGCAGCUCAGACAUGCUCACAGGCUUUAAUUAAAAAGGGAUCCAUAGGCCCAACAAACUCUAGACACACCGCCAUCGUAAUAGUCUCAUAUUCAUGCACGUUGGUGUCUGGUUACCAUGGCGCUAAACAAAUGGGGGAAAUGGUUAAAUUAGCCGCACAUGACACGAUAAAUAGGUGAUAAAUUCUCCUGGUGAAGAAUGAUAUCAGUGUUAUUUCAAAGGAAUACAGAGUGAGACAGAAACGAUAGAUCUGCUGAAGGAUCAGCUGGAAAUAUUUCACCCAGAGAUCCGAUAACCUGGUGAAUACUGUUCGGAUCUGUUUAUGUAAUCAGACUGAAGCGCUGUGAAAUUGAAUAUCUCACGUUUCUGCUUUUCCACCACUGUGUCGCUUUCGAAGUCUCAUUUGAUUGAGCCGCUCUUGUUUUUGGGGGGCGUUUAUUCAUGUGAUGAGAGUCGUCUUUGUAACAAGGCGGCGCUCGUAUUUGCAUUCGCCCAUCGGGGCAGCUGCAGUGCUGUACAGUUAUGUCUACUGUGGGCAGCAAAAUGGCGGUCACGCAAAUCACAGGGUCUGUCUGCUGGUCGUGGGAGCUGAGGCGAGAGAGGAGGGGGAGGAGGAGGAGGAGGGGGAGGAUUUCAGGGCGUCUGGUUUGAGAAUAUGAGGGAAGGUUGCAGGGUCUAGACUAUGGGGUUGGGGGGGUCGCUCAUGAGGGGAUGAUGGAGUGGGGGGGGGUAUUUGUAGAGGUUAUUAUUUGAAGGGGGGGGUGUCUGGUUUUAGGAGGAGCAAUUAAUGAAGGAGUGAAGAGGAGAGGAGGGGGUUUAGUUUGUCUGCAUUUGUGAACAUGUGUCUGUGUCUCGGACAUUUGCAUAGAGCAAAGAGGGCGUCCAUAUGCCGCGCGGCACGGGGAGGCGAGGCGGGUCUGUCAUUUCAGGGUCUGAGCUGAGCGAAGACCUUGCCAAACACCCAGGAACACACACUUUACCACAGUCCUCACAAUAACUCUGAAGCACUCCUACCAUGCUAGAGCCUCAUGUUAGCAGCAUCACUGUUUCUGUCCUUUUUACCAGCCAAUGAGGGGACGCGGAGCUGCUUUCAGCCAAUAACGGCGCGUAAAGACCCAGGAAGAGGAAGGGAAGGCGCGGAGAGUUUACCCUUGAUGUGCCAGGCGAGAGAGGAUAAACAAUAAAACGCUUCUGCGCGGAGAGAGAGAGAGAGAGAGAGAGAGCACAGGGGGAGGAAGAAAAUGAGCAUCACUCUGCAUUCAUAACCCAGUUGGAAGGCAGAAAGAUAGAAAAUAAAGCAGCUGAUUAUGGGGAAAUAGAGAUCGAACGUCACACAUUUUCUUUGUAUGCCAGACACAGGGUGGUAGAAUGAUUACACGUCAAUCUGAGGGGUACAAAGGCAAAGAAAAGCCCCCCCUCCGCUGAAAAGAAAUGGAGUCAUGAAGACGGCGAGAGCUGCCAGGCAUAAAAACAUAACAAAACUCUUUAACAGGAGCGGAAAGAGGAACAAAAUAUUCCUUCUAAAAUGAUCUCUGUUGAAGAGUGCACUCUUAAUGUGAGGCAAAAAUGAUCAUAAGAGUGUUUCAUUUUCUGCUGUAAAAUCAGACAUGGGAUUUUUAAAACCUAGAUUUAUUAUUCAUGUGUUUAAACAGGACCUUCGUUAUAUCGUUGCUACACAAACGAUAUUCCAGUGUUGCCUUUAGCUCAUGAAAAGAGACACAGAAGAAUUACAGCAUUUUUAAAAAGUCUGUCUCAUAUUUUUAGAGUCACAAAAAAUCUGACUUUAUUUAAUUCAGACCUUUAAUUACUACACAUUAUAUUAAUUUUACAUAAUAGAUUUCAGUUUUUAAUAAUUGCAGUUCUCUUUUUAUAAAAUUUAAACAUAUCCGAAUUAAAGUAGUUCAUUUCAAGGCGAGAGGAAAGGAAAGAAAGGUCUCUCUCUCUCUCUCCAUCUGAGAAGAAAUGAAGUCAUGUAUAGACAGGUCGUGGUCGUCAAAAGGCCUUAAACAUGCAGACAUCCAGACACAGACACAAUGCAGAUCUCCAUAAUGUGGCACAUGAAUACUGGCACGUUUAAACCACGAUCGUCUCGGAGCUGAGGGUCUGAGUGGAGCGUGGGAAUGUGUGGCGAACAUAUGCAGAACAGUCAGGCGCUGGCGAGACGGCCCUGCUAGCAUGAAUGCUGUCGUAGCAGGUGAAAAGAGGACCCUAGAGUUCAGGGGUCAAGGCCAGUGCAGGGGCUGUCUGGCUCAUGUGUGUGUGUGUGUGUGUGUGUGUGUGUGUGCGUGUGUCUAUGUGUGUGUGAGAGAGAGAGACACGCACACACUCUGGUUGUCGUCUGGGUCUUGAUGCUAAUGAAGUAGCCCGGCUGUUUGAUAAGCACUGCUGUCUAUUGUUAGCCCAGUCUGGUGCUUCAGAGAGGACUAGACGGGGUGUAGGUUUGGACAAGAGCUCCUUCAUCAUGUUCUAGUCGCAGCAGAGCAGCAGACAGGCAGAUCGACAGGCAGCCUGAAGUCAGGCCUCCCCUGCUGAAACUCUGAUUGUGUUGUCUAGAAGACUUCUGUGCUUUCUCUGACGUUCCCCCUCUGAGUGACACGUUGGUCUAGGGCUCUGCAGUGUGGUGCCGCUCUUUGUUUCUCCGUGGAUUGAUGGCAGAUUCGCACGACAACUCUGCAUUUCAGUGACUGGUGAAAAUUGUCAAGAUCACAUAGGCUUUAAGUAUAUAUUUAAAUAACAGUUUGCAGUUUUUUUUCUGCAGCUGUGACUUGUGUCAUAUCAAACCUUGGAUACCCUCUAACUUCAGACCUUUGUAACAUCUUUGGUAUCGUCAGAGCGUCAACUAAUCCCACAAAAGCCUCUGUCUAAAUUAAAUGAUUAAUCCUCAUAUUAGCAAAGCUGUAAACAGAACUAUUUAAAGCAGCACUAUUGGACACACACUCAUACAAGAUGUUGGCUCCUUUGUUGCUGUCAACCUGGGCUCCGUGGUUUGUUUUGAUUUAAUACCCAGCCUUCCAUGAAUACCAAUUAGACAUCAGAUGUGUACUAAUCUGCGGCUUAAAUUAGUCUCAGACGUCCGCCUGGUUUAUUCCUGUUUAAGCAAGGUUCAAAAGAAAUAAGAGUAAAUAGUUGUUUUAAGGAACAACUUGAAAAGGUCAUAUUUAUUUCUUUAGUUUUGUGUUUUUUUUCAUGGGUUUUGUCGAUCAUCACGUCGAUAGUCUUACACUUUUGAACCUCAGAGUUGAAAAAGUUUUGUUCCCAUCCAGAGCUUUGUCAGAUUCAUGUUUCAGCAGGAUUGUACCCACAGCAGAUUCAUAGUUGACACCUCCCGGUCGACGUAAAGGUGCGUUACUUCUAGAUACCCCUUUAAGAGUUAAAGCAUUACCUCAUCAGGAGCUGUGUAAAGGCAGGAAGUGAGUGAAUGGCUGAAGGAGCGCAGUGCUAACUCUCUCACUCCUUUAUGCCUGUGGCUGCAGGCUUCAUUAGCUCGACAGAAAGGCACCGCUCGCUCCCCGUCCCCUCAAUAGACCCAUAGACCUGUCUCGCUGGCACAGGCUUGCUCCAGUGUGCAGCGUAUGUGUGUUUGAGUGUGUGUCCCUGAACCAUUCACACACCUCCAGGCUUCAUAGUUUCUCAGUCAUGCCUAAAGGAAGCUGGGCAUUGACACUUUUUUGAGACUCACAUCUUUGUCCCCCUCCACCUCUUGUUUUCUGCCACUCGCUCUCCAUUAUUCUCCAUUUCACUAUUUUACUCAUUGUGUUUUUUUUUCUCUUUCAGUUGCUUUUACUCCAAAAUGUCUCAGAUCUCUAACAGAACGGAAUAUUUAGUCAGGGACCAUAUGUCGUACUCGGCUCAGACUUUUGUGUCCUUGCAGCAGUUUGACGCCAUUUCCAACCUGAAUCAUUUUACUUUAGUUUGAAUUUCCCUGUCAUUCUCCAAACUUUGAGUGAAAUCUCCGUUUACUAAACAUUAUAUUGAAAAAUAAAGAGGCUCUAUAACAAUUAAAACUACUUCACAAAAAAUCUAAAACUAGCACUGUGAAAAAAAAGCAGCUUUGGCAGUUUUUUAGAUGGUAAAAUGGAUCAACUGAGUCCUUUUUGAAUGGAUUUGUUUAGCUUUUGCGUUUAGCUGCAGUACUGGAGAUAAUGAAUCAUCAGUAUACCUCUAACCCCCCUUAAAAUAAAUAGGUCAACCAAAUCUAAUGCUGUUGUGCUGCAUUAAACUAUACUGUAUUUUCUGUCCAGUCUUUCCUGUAUCUGUGAUGACACUUGACCUUUAGUUUAUGUCUGUAAACCAUUUUGGACAGUGGGGGUAAAAAAAAAUGAGCCAUCGUCUUAAUGAGAUGGAAACGCAGAUAUCGUCACAGGUCCGACUGAUGCAUAUUCCUGAAAUCCUCCCCAUAGCGCCUCUGUUUCCCAUCAGGCACUGAGCUGAGGCAGCUACCAGGGGUCCUCAUCCAUUGAGGAGGAGGAGGAGGAGGAGGAGACACGUGCUGCGUCCGAACUGCCCGCUCGGAUACUACAUGCUACUGCUACGUACUACUGCUAGAUCCUACUCCUACAUACUAAAAACGUUGGCCCAAUUCGGACACACUAGACGAGCGGUGGGGAAAGACGACCCCCGCAGGCAGAGAGUAGGUACUGCGCCCGUGCAGACAGUGGUAACUGAAGCUCCUCAUCUGCGGGCCUGGCUGUAGUACUGCAGCUGUGCAGUUUAAUGAUGGAAUAAGUGAGCUUUACCUCCAUGAUGUCGCCACAUAUUUGCUCAUAAAAUGAUUACUUGGGCAAAUAUGACACCAUGACAUGACAAAGAGAUACAACCGCACAUUUUUUAGGACAGUGUGUGAAGUUACAUGAAACUUAAAUCUGUACUGCUGCGGUCCCGCCUGCUGCUGCUGCUGCUCCGACAUGGUGCGCGCUGCUGUGGCCAGCCGGCGUUCGCGACACUUUUAAAUAGGCAGAGCAGCUGGUGGCGCUAGCAUCACAUGCGCUUCUACAACUUUUAAGAGGACGAAGAAGAAGCCCGCGGUGCAUUUUGGGUCAGUAGCAUGCCCGUAGGAUGCACCGAGACCAACCUACAAUGUGGGCGUGUCUAGCAUCUGAAGUAGUAUCUGAAGUAGCAUGCUACUCGCUCCGGUGGCCAAUUCGGACAUGCUAGAUACUACUUCGACUACUACUUCGACUACUACUUGGCAAUUCGGACGCAGCUACGUACACGAGGAAAGGUGCUAGCAUUCAUGAUUAGCAUGUGCAGCCGCCAUCGUGUGCUGAGCUCAUUGUUGUUGAUGCUGCAUUAAUGAGGCCGGUUUAUAUCAGACGGUCUGUUCACGACACACAAUCAUGAACACGCAUUAAACAGAGCCUGGGUGUGACACAUGACAGCACGCACCCCACACUCGCCCUGUUUUUAGACUGCUCAUGAGUCAGCACCUGCCUUCACAGGUGCAAAAUUUCAUUGGUGCCAUUUUUUGUAUCAUAAAUUAGUUUAUAUUGAAUAAAGUCAAAGUGUAAAAUAAUUGAGGGGGUUUUAAACACACCUGAUGGUGAUUUUAAAUCGUCGAUGUCAGGUCCAGUCUGUGUCAAAGCUCUGAAGAAAAUAAACUCUGAAAGUAGAGUAAUGAAAAGUUUGUUAUAGUCACAGAAAACUGCAGCUUUGACUCAGAAAUAGAAACCGUCAUAGAGAGAGAGAGAGAGAGAGGGAGGGAGAGAAAUGAGAGUACAACACUGUGGCCUGGUUUGUGGUUCCAGAGGGAUAGAGACACUUUCCUGUUCCCUGCAAAAUGAGAUAGGAUGAGCUCUUUUAACACAGACACAAAUGCAUACACACUAACACACUCAAACACACACACACACACACACCUUGUUCAUUCCUUCUAACUGUGCCUGGUCUACAUUUGUGCAGCUUUGUUGUCGCGGCAGCAGGAAACUGAUUGCCCCAGAUUUAAGCGAGCCUCCUUCACAUAUGCAGCAGUUAGCUGUCAACUCUCAAAACGACUCCGAUCAUCAAUUUUUUCUUUUUUUGUUUGGUUUUCUGUGUCACUUUUCAUCGCAAGUGUGAGUGUGUGUGUUUGUAACAGACAGUCUGACCUCUGACCCCGACCCGCUGGGAGGCUUUCAUUCCCAUAGGCUGGGGGCUGUGGUUGUCUCGCUCUCUCUCUCCCUCUCACACACACACACACUGCCGGCUCUAUUGGUUAAGCGGUCCCUCGGCCACCCAUUCAGGGCUCAGUCACGGCCACUUAGAGCGCAGCAGACACAGGGAUUCAGAUGAGCUGUGAUCCAAUGACAUGUAUUUAUAAUGAGGGGGCUGUGGGGACGUCUUUGUUUGAUGGACACAAUGUCUGCACAAGAGUGUGUUUGAGUGUGUUAUAAGUUUGUGUGUUUGGUGGAGAGGGGGAAUUUCUGUGUCUUUUUACACUUUCUCUACUCAUUCAACUCUCACACACACAUUCAGACUUUUUCUUUCUUGCCUUCAAAAUUUGCAGAAAAGACUGACUUUAUUAUUUAGCCUGAAAAAAAUCAAUCAAGAACUUGCUGGGACAGCUUCUAGUGAAAAUUAAGUCUCUUGUUAAAGAAAGUGAGUGAAAUAAGAGUGAAGUUUACAAUCACUUUUGCUGCCCCAAUGGCAGAUAUUUUCACACAUUACAAGCGUCUCAGGUCUUUUUAUUUUUAGUUUCCAACGUCUUGAAAAAAGACUUUUAUCUGGUGGCCUAUAUUAGUGCUCUUGAAAUAUUUGAGAAACACACUUGGCUUAGUGUGAGGCUGUGGAGUAUGAUCUAUUGAUGAUCACAUUUUUCUCUUGUUUUAUGAAGGGCCUGUGUCCACUAACGGUAUCUUUUGCAUAGGCAGCACCUAUUUUCUGAUAAAUAAACAAACAAAUAAUAGAGCUCAGUAUUUAAGUACAGAACAUCCUUGGUUCCCUGUCAGCUGUUUUUCUGUUGCUGCACUUAGAGUUGAAAUAGUCCAACUUUUUAGUACUAACAUACUCUUCAGAGUAAAUCUUUCAUUGAUCAAAAUAGUCAAGAAGAGGCGGGACUUCUGAUAUCAACUUACUCAAUAACAAUAGCCACAAAGCAGAGGCAGAAGUACUGAACAUCGUUUGUUAUCCAACAGCAGUGAGUAAGACGUGAGUGAGAAAGUGGGGUCUUGUGGGUGCUGCCAGUGCAGAGACUGCUGUCGGUGGACAUAGGCCCUAAAAAAAGCUUUGACUAGACUGUUCUGAUGUUCAGUUCAGGCCAGGAUUUAUAAGAUUUGCAGCAAUAGUUAUCUUAUAAAUUAAAUUUUUGAUACCAAUAUAUUUUGAGGAAAUCAAAAUUAAAAAGUUUACACCAUCAGCUAUAUAAUCACUUUUUUAAAACAGUUUAUGGUGACAGAAACAGUAAUGAAGUAUUUCGUGAAUAAAAAGUGUAGAUGAUUUUUGAACUAUGAUUAUUUUGAAGCUCACACCAGUCUGAGUCUUGUUAGCCAGCCAAAUCAAGGACAGUAAUAACUUUUUUGAUAAGGAGGAAACUGUCAUUAUUUUUUUGUCUUUUACAAACUAAGUAAUUUUAGAAAUGUGUGGCAGUAUCAUUAAAACAGUGAAAACACAAAUCAUUGUGAGUCCACCCAAUACAAGUACGUCUAUGUGUGCUGAGGGAGUGUGGUGUGUAGUCAGAGCUGCAGUCUGAUCUCUGCCUACAUUAGUCAGUGGUUGGGACAGCGUGGGCAGAAGAAGAGCCCUGGAGGGUCCUACAAGCUGAGGAAGGCCCCUCAUAAUGACCAGUGUCUGAAACACUGCCGCUACCCAGGGACCAGUGUCUGAUUCUGAUGUACUCAAUCACAACCAUAAUCACAACCCCAGCCUCCUCACAGCCCACACUCAACUCCAUUUUUGCUGCCUAUCAGUCUGAACUGUUGGAGUAUAAUCAGAAAUUUACAAAGUGUCAUUCCACCUUUUCCAGCCUGACGUAGAUUGGGACUUUACCAAAGGUCUUACACAUUAUUUAAAAGUGCAUCUGCUGUUGUUGUUUUUUUUUAUAUUAUCUAUGAUGAUUAAAAGUCUCGACAAAUGAGGAUGAAGUCCCUUAUCUUGGCUGGUUGACUUCUUAUCUUGUUCAGUCAUGACGGUGCAAAACCAGACAGUGGAAGUGUGUCGGCUGUCUGUGUGUGUCUGCUCUCUCGGGUGUAAUCAUGGGUUCCCCGGCUGACUGCGUGUCCCAUAGUGAUCUCAGACUUCAGAGGUCAGAGGUCAUUUAGUGUGGGCUCCGAUAUAGACAUUAUGUAGUCAUGACGAGGGACUACCACUUGAACCAACACUGUCCCAUUUUUUUCUGUGUUAUGUUGAAACUGCUGCGUCAGCCUGUGGUGUGACAGAUGGACAGAAUUGUUCACUGUUAGAGCUCAGGUGUACAUUUAUCAGACGUCUGUGGUUCUUAAUUUAAAAAUACAGAAAGAUUUUUGUUGUGCAUUUUCUUAGCUGCACUCGCUAAUUUCCUCCAUUGUCUUGUCUCUCUGCAGGUUCAACAAUGUGAGGAAAAUUCCUGGUGUAAAAAACAUCGAACUCAAACUUGACCGGACUGGAUUACAUGUUUUAUUCUGGAAAAUGAAGGACUCUUACAUACACGAAUAUAUUUUUGUUAAAAAAAGGGAAUACUUUGCUUUGAGCUCCUGUAAACCCGUGAAGAUGAACCUCUAAAUCUGGACUGAAUCAAAGAAGAAGACAAGGAGAAUUUUGUCAUGUAACAACAUUUUUUACACCAGCUGUACCUUCUUUUUCUGACAGUGAAAAUAUUUGUGUGUGAAUAAUCAAUAAAUGGGAAUGGAAGAUAAGCAACAUUAAAUGUUUUAUUUUUCAACUGUAUCAAUAAUUAUCAAUGGUGAAUAGUAAGAGUCAGUUUACUCGAGUACUGUAACACAUUUUUUGAGUAUUUGUAUUUCUGUAUCUGGCUGAUAUUUGAGUCCUCUACAUUUUCUACGAUUCUUCUCAUUUCUUGCUAUUUUUGCCCUGAAGUCAGCUAAUAAACUUCCUUUUCUUUUCUGAAAUCCAAAUGUUAAGACGUGCUUGUUGAGUUCUUGUUGUUGCUGUAUCUUUCAAUCGUACAUCUGUAUUGUUAAAGAGACAAACGCAAACACAGAUCAGAUCAGGCAGUUCAUUUUAAUGUGGUGUUGAUUGCUACAGCAGUAAUUGUUUGCUCUGUUUACCUCUUAAGAACUUCAUUAUGAUUGACAAACAUUAGCUUUUUCAAUGCUUUCUUAAUCCAUGUCAUAAAAAACGGCCUGGUGAGCAUUUAAAGUUGUAUUUUAACAAAAUAAGCUGUGGGUUUAAAAAUUGUGUUAGUCUGUAUUAGUAAAAAAUGUAAACAUAGCAUGGGAAUUAAUACAGACCAUCACAUACUUGAGCAUGGGUACCAUUUUCAUUCUGUAAAACAUCGGAAUACGUACUUAUGAAAUCACAGACUUUUUCCAUUAUAGCACUUGGAGGACUUAAAUCAAAUAUAUUCGAGGUGAUGAUUACACAUUGAUCUUCUGAUCAGGAUAAUAGCAUCAUAUAAUAGGUUGUCACAGAGUUUUGAAAAGAAGGUUUUGUUUGACAUAUUUCAGGUGCUAACACCCCUGUAAAGAAGUAAAAAAAAAACAAGUGUGUCUCAGCAGCUACACAGUUAUCAAGUUCAAAAGGCCUUGAAGCUGCUGAAAUGGCUGUUUGAUAAAACUUCACCCAGUAAAGCCUGGCUGACUGUUACACUGGUGAUCAGGCGUUUUUUUUUCCCGCCAUUUCUCCAUGUAAUUUUGGACUUGAGUAUAUGAGUUAAAAAUGUAAAAGAUGUUUUUUAAAUCAAGAAAACAUUACAGAAUAUGCACCCAUAUAUUCUUGAUUGUACUCAUGCAUGAUGAAAAUAAAAUGUUUUGGGAUUUUUUUAUCAAGUACAUUAAAUACUGAAGUAUCUUUAAAAGACUCCAGUAACAAAUGACUGAGCAUCUUUCACUUUUGUUGGAGAGAUAUUUGACGAGGUUUAUCUAUUAUUUGACUCACAUGAUGAAGUGGUGAACAUUGUCCACCAAUGAAAAUGUAAUUGGAUAUAUAAUAAUUUGUUACCUUUUCUCUCAGGUACUUACAAUCAAGCUAAAGUGGUUUUUUCACCAAGAGUUUAAAAUCAUGACGAAAUUCAUCACCUCUUCUUUUAAAGUUUGAGUUUUCACUAAUGCUCCUCUUGUCAAGAAUGAGUGCACUGAAAAGUCUUUGACACACAACCAGUAACUAACGGAUAGAUCAGCAUUGCUUUGGUUUAUUUAUAUAAAUUUGUAUGUUUUCUUAUUCACAUGGUGAAAAGUCUGUGUUUUUUUUACAAUUAUUUAUACGGUCAAUAAAAAGAGGACUGACAGAC